UGGGGAAUAUUGGACAAUGGGCGCAAGCCUGAUCCAGCCAUGCCGCGUGAGUGAUGAAGGCCCUAGGGUUGUAAAGCUCUUUUGUGCGGGAAGAUAAUGACGGUACCGCAAGAAUAAGCCCCGGCUAACUUCGUGCCAGCAGCCGCGGUAAUACGUAGGGUGCGAGCGUUAAUCGGAAUUACUGGGCGUAAAGCGUGCGCAGGCGGUUUUGUAAGACAGAUGUGAAAUCCCCGGGCUUAACCUGGGAACUGCGUCUGUGACUGCAAGGCUGGAGAACGGCAGAGGGGGGUGGAAUUCCACGUGCAGCAGUGAAAUGCGUAGAGAUGUGGAGGAACACCGAUGGCGAAGGCAGCCCCCUGGGCCUGUACUGACGCUCAUGCACGAAAGCGUGGGGAGCAAACA
rnacentral:rRNA from 1 species